CAGUAGCCACGGUAAUCCGAAGGGGGCUAGCGUUGUUCGGAUUUACUGGGCGUAAAGCGCACGUAGGCGGACUUUUAAGUCAGGGGUGAAAUCCCGGGGCUCAACCCCGGAACUGCCUUUGAUACUGGAAGUCUUGAGUAUGGUAGAGGUGAGUGGAAUUCCGAGUGUAGAGGUGAAAUUCGUAGAUAUUCGGAGGAACACCAGUGGUGAAGGCGGCUCACUGGGCCAUUACUGACGCUGAGGUGCGAAAGCGUGGGGAGCAAACAGGAUUAGAUACCCCUGUAGUCCCUGUCUCUUAUAA
rnacentral:rRNA from 1 species